ACACCCAGGUAACUGAUAUGCCUAGAGAU
rnacentral:piRNA from 1 species